rnacentral:piRNA from 1 species
UGUCCAUACAGGUAGGAUAAAUGACUGC